GGGGAAUCUUGCACAAUGGGGGCAACCCUGAUGCAGCGACGCCGCGUGAGCGAUGAAGCCCUUCGGGGCGUAAAGCUCUUUCGACCGGAACGAUAAUGACGGUACCGGGAGAAGAAGCUGCGGCUAACUACGUGCCAGCAGCCGCGGUAAUACGUAGGAGGCGAGCGUUAUCCGGAUUUACUGGGCGUAAAGCGCGUGCAGGCGGAUUGGAGAGUUGGAUGUGAAAGCUCCCGGCUUAACUGGGAGAGGUCGUUCAAUACUUCCAGUCUUGAGUGCAGUAGAGGGAAGUGGAAUUCCGGGUGUAGUGGUGAAAUGCGUAGAUAUCCGGAGGAACACCAGUGGCGAAAGCGGCUUCCUGGACUGUAACUGACGCUCAGACGCGAAAGCUAGGGUAGCAAACG
rnacentral:rRNA from 1 species